GGGGGAACCCGGGCUCCAGGGCCUGCCAGGACGUGUGGGGUACCCCGGCUCUGAUGGCUUCCCUGGCUUGGAUGGCAAACCUGGGCCCUGGGGGCUGCCAGGGGAGCAGGGCCUCCAGGGCUUCCAGGGUGACCGAGGGCUGGCUGGGGACAAGGGAGAAGAGGGUUUCUUGGGAGACCCUGGACCAGCUGGGGACAAAGGAGAGAAGGGAGUGAAGGGGCUGAAGGGAGAGAAUGGGCUGCCAGGUCCUGCAGGGCUCCAGGGGCUGGUGGGGCUGAAGGGUGCCAUGGGCUUCCAGGGCCCUGCAGGGCCGGAGGUGAGUGCAUUUCCCUUCUCUGUGCCACCCAAAGGGGUGCAGGAGCUGGGGAUUCCCCCUGGGAAGAGGGGUCUGAGCAGGGAUUUACAUCCAGGCACGUUGGGGCAUU
rnacentral:lncRNA from 1 species